rnacentral:piRNA from 1 species
UCCAGACUCAGGGUCAAACGGAGAUGUGAGC